rnacentral:lncRNA from 1 species
UGCAGGAGGCCCAGGACCGUUGGCAGAAAUUUUGUGUUGAUUAGAGCCUCAGGCCAUGGGAGGUGCAGGUGACUGGAACGGAGCCAAGGAUGGUGGUGUUCCUCCUAGGGAUUUACUAACACUGCCAGCAACUCAAGAACUAGCCAGCCAGGAGUUUCCUAGUAAGUGAAACUGACUUGGUUCUGCUUCCUUUCAUGAAAACCUUUGUGAAAAUGAG